UACGUAGGGUGCGAGCGUUGCCCGGAUUUAUUGGGCGUAAAGGGCGCGUAGGCGGCUCGGCACGUCCGUUGUGAAAUCGCCCGGCUCAACUGGGCGGGGUCAGCGGAUACGGUCGAGCUUGAGCAAGCUAGGGGGUAAUGGAAUUCCCGGUGUAGUGGUGGAAUGCGUAGAUAUCGGGAGGAACACCAGUGGCGAAGGCGGCGCUCUGGACCGAGACUGACGCUGAGGCGCGAAAGCGUGGGGAGCAAACAGG
rnacentral:rRNA from 1 species